rnacentral:rRNA from 1 species
UACGUAGGCAGCAAGCGUUGUUCGGAGUUACUGGGCGUAAAGAGUGCGUAGGCGGUGUCGAAAGUUUGGCGUGAAAUCUCCCGGCUUAACUGGGAGGGUGCGCCGAAAACUGCGGUGCUGGAGUGUGGGAAAGGCAAGCGGAAUUCCUGGAUGUAGCGGUGAAUGACGUAGAUAUCAGGAGGAACACCGGCGGUGUAGACGGCUUGCUAGACCAUAACUGACGCUGAGGCACGAAAGCGUGGGUAGCAAACAGG